rnacentral:rRNA from 1 species
UACGAAGGGGGCUAGCGUUGCUCGGAAUCACUGGGCGUAAAGGGUGCGUAGGCGGGUCUUUAAGUCAGGGGUGAAAUCCUGGAGCUCAACUCCAGAACUGCCUUUGAUACUGAAGAUCUUGAGUUCGGGAGAGGUGAGUGGAAUUCCGAGUGUAGAGGUGAAAUUCGUAGAUAUUCGGAAGAACACCAGUGGCGAAGGCGGCUCACUGGACCGUAGUGUACGCUGAGGUGCGAAAGCGUGGGGAGCAAACAGG